CGGACGAACAUAUCAAUUGAUACAGGCCCCGGAUCGAUUGAGGUUCAUACAUUAUGUGGGCGAAAUCUUCACAAGAGGGAGGGAAAAAUCUUCACAAGAGGGAGGGAAUGAUGAGGACAUCGAGGAGGAGCACGAGGAGGAGCACAAGGAGGAGCACACGGAGCUUGCGGAGCAUAUGGAGCUUGCAGAUAGCACGGGAGAACACUUGACCAAUUCUACAAUUGAGGGAGAACCAAAAGAAAGAAUAUCUCAAGUGCCUUCUUCACGAAUCGAACUACCUCUUACUCGAGCCAAGGCACGAGCUGUAUGGCAACGUAUCAAUACGUUCGUUUCUCGCACAUUGGACGAACUCCGAGCCAACGAUCCGAACGACAUCUCUCUUGGAUCAUUGAAGACGUGCAACUUGGCUAUCUUGGGAACCCUAGACGUGGAUUAUGCUUGAAGAAAUACAAAGGAAGCUGUUUAGAACACAAGGCAUUGGACAUCACAUGUUUUGGGACAAACAAUGCAUUUAUUGUGCUUUUCAUGCAUGAGUUGAUCAUUAAUUACAAAACUAGCUGUUGUAACAUCUUUAUACCUUUUAUAUUCUGCUUUGUAAGACAUGGAAGAUCAGGUUUUGAUCA